rnacentral:rRNA from 1 species
UUAUGAUUUAAACUUAAUAGUAAUGUAGCCUAUAAUAGAGCUCUAGAUAAGAGCU